UACAGAGGGGGCAAGCGUUGUUCGGAAUUACUGGGCGUAAAGGGCGCGUAGGCGGCCAACUAAGUCAGACGUGAAAUCCCUCGGCUUAACCGGGGAACUGCGUCUGAUACUGGAUGGCUUGAGAUUGGGAGAGGGAUGCGGAAUUCCAGGUGUAGCGGUGAAAUGCGUAGAUAUCUGGAGGAACACCGGUGGCGAAGGCGGCAUCCUGGACCAACACUGACGCUGAGGAGCGAAAGCCAGGGGAGCAAACGGG
rnacentral:rRNA from 1 species